rnacentral:misc_RNA from 1 species
GAAAUGCGAUAAGUAGUGUGAAUUGCAGAAUUCAGUGAAUCAUCGAAUCUUUGAAGGCACAUUGCGCCCCUUGGUAUUCCAUGGGGCAUGCCUGUUCGAGCGUCAUUUGUACCCUCAAGCUCUGCUUGGUGUUGGGUGUUUGUCCCGUCUCCGCGCGUGGACUCGCCCCAAAGUGAUUGGCAGCCGGCGUACUGGUCCCGGAGCGCAGCACAUGUCGCGCAAACGAGUGCCUUGGUACGGCGGCGUCCAUAAGCCCCUCUCUCACGCUCUUGACCUCGGAUCAGGUAGGGAUACCCGCUGAACUUAAGC